rnacentral:snRNA from 1 species
AUCGCUUCUUGGCCUUUUGGCUAAGAUCAAGUGUAGUAUCUGUUCUUAUCAGUUUAAAAAUUAAAUUAGGGUGGGGGUAAAUGGCAUAAUGGUUCAGCAGACUCUCA